UUAAAGAGUUCUAUAACUCCCAAACCCAUGUGAACAUACCUAACGUUGCCUCGGCAGGUCGCACCUACCUUGUAGCACCCUACCCUGUAGGGCCUACCCGGGAGGUGCGGGUAAGCCUGCCGGCGGCCCACCAAACUCUGUUUGAUAUUGAAUUCUGAAUCUAUAACUAAAUAAGUUAAAACUUUCAACAACGGAUCUCUUGGUUCUGGCAUCGAUGAAGAACGCAGCGAAAUGCGAUAAGUAAUGUGAAUUGCAGAAUUCAGUGAAUCAUCGAAUCUUUGAACGCAUAUUGCGCCCAUUAGUAUUCUAGUGGGCAGGACCGUUCGAGCGUCAUUUCAACCCUUAAGCCUUCGUUGCUUAGUGUUGGGAGCCUAUGGCAACGUAGCUCCUCAAAGUUAGUGGCGGAGUUGGUUCACACUCUAGACGUAGUAAUUUUUUAUCUCGCCUAUUAGUUGGACUAAUCCCCUGCCGUAAAACCCCCAAUUUAUAUCAAGGUUGACCUCGAAUCGGUUCAGACAAACUCGCUAAAUUGAAGCAUCUUAGUCAGCGAAGGAAAAGAAACCAACAGGGAUUGCCCUAGUAACGGCGAGUGAAGCGGCAACAGCUCAA
rnacentral:rRNA from 1 species